ACUGAAAUUGUCAAAUACUGUGGGAACAUAGUCCGUUGGAAAGGUAUUACUGGUGUAGGAAAUGAGCAUGCAAGUCUUUCCCACAGCACCAUCCCCCACCGUCACACACUUGAUAAAUCUUGCUGUACUCAUUUUUGGUAGCCUCUUAAGGCAAACUUCGCAUAAUCUUUAUAUAUAAAUGUAUAUUUUGUUUCUUCUCUACUUAUACGUAUAACCAUAAUAAUAGAAGUAGUUGUGAAGUAUGAAAGAAAAUGGAAGGAAGAUGCAGGAAUUUAACAACCUACAAGCCUAAAUCAACCACUGUAGCUGAAAUUUAUCAAAUAUAAAAUGAUUGCAAGAAAAGCUUUUCUUUUCUUUAAGUGCAAGGACAGAGCUAGAUGGUGG
rnacentral:misc_RNA from 1 species